AAAGAAGUACAUUCAUCAUUAUCUAAACAUCCUUAAACAACUAAUUCCAGUCUCUCUCCAACAACUAAUUCACUACAUUCCAUUAUAUACACAGAGAUUUCUAAAAGCAACACUAUAAACUGGAAAAAAAAUCCUCUCAUUACUCACGGAAGGAGCUCUGAACAAAAACAAAACCUAGAAACUGAAAAACAAACUCAACAACCACACACACAGGAAAACCUAAAGGAAAAAAUAAACAAAAAAGAAAGACGAGCUGGGCUGUACAC
rnacentral:lncRNA from 1 species